CUCUUGGAUCACUUCUUCUGUGAGAAGCAAUUUGACAGACGGUAAAAAUAACUAAAGCAGCCCAUGGAUAGGCAAAGUAGGGAAGAGCUGAGUCCUUCCAAAAGCCAGCACUAGACAUAUGAGUGAGGUACCAUAGAAACAGAUUCUCUAGCUCCAGAAUUCUUAAGAUGUUGGCAGCCCUGGCUGACAUGUGCCUGAACAUCAUGAGAGAACCUAAGCCAGAUCCACCCUGCUAAGCUGUUCUUGAAUUUCUGCCCAGCUAAGGUUUGAGGUGAACUUUGCUUUCUUCUGAUUUUUACUUGAAGACUCAAAAGUUAGAACUCAUGCAUUCAACAAAGAAGGUCUCUGUGACUCAAGAAAAAGACUCUACCAAAUAUCUUAACUACUGAUAUAUGAAAGAACAGACUUUUGACUAAAGAUUGUCAAGCUUAUAUCACUCAGAAAUCUUUCCAACUGUACUAGAGGGCUAAAUUAGGCUUUCUAAGACUAUUUCACAAGAAGAUGACUUCAUGAAAUCAUAUUGCUGAUCCAAGUUCCAGGAGAAUAAGAAUUAAUUACAAAAGACUGAAUAAACUGAUCAGAAAAUUUUAA